AACUAACGCUGGCGGCGUGCCUAACACAUGCAAGUCGUACGAGAAAGUCGGCUUCGGCUGAUGAGUAAAGUGGCGCACGGGUGAGUAACGCGUGGAUAAUCUGCCUUUUAGUUGGGAAUAACGUACCGAAAGGUGCGCUAAUACCGGAUAAUACUGCAUAACUACUGUUGUGUAGUCAAAGAAGGCCUCUGUUUGCAAGCUUUUGCUGAAAGAUGAGUCCGCGUACCAUUAGCUAGUUGGUAGGGUAAUGGCCUACCAAGGCUACGAUGGUUAGCUGGUCUGAGAGGAUGAUCAGCCACACUGGAACUGAGACACGGUCCAGACUCCUACGGGAGGCAGCAGUGAGGAAUAUUGCGCAAUGGGGGCAACCCUGACGCAGCAACGCCGCGUGAGUGAGGAAGGUUUUCGGACCGUAAAGCUCUGUCGAGCGGGAAGAAAUGUAUCGUGGCUAAUAUCCAUGAUAUUUGACGGUACCGCUAAAGGAAGCACCGGCUAACUCCGUGCCAGCAGCCGCCGCCG
rnacentral:rRNA from 1 species